UACGGGGGGGGCAAGCGUUGUUGCGGAAUUACUGGGCGUAAAGGGCGCGUAGGCGCCUGCUAAGUCGGACGUGAAAUCCCUCGGCUCAACCGGGGAACUGCGUCCGAUACUGGCGAGCUUGAAUCCGGGAGAGGGAUGUGGAAUUCCAGGUGUAGCGGUGAAAUGCGUAGAGUAUACUGGAGGAACACCGGUGGCGAAGGCGGGGUCUCUGGGC
rnacentral:rRNA from 1 species